rnacentral:tRNA from 1 species
GGGUCAGUGUCCCGAGCGGCAAAGGGGAAUGACUGUAAAUCAUUUGCGGGAACGCUUCGUAGGUUCGAGUCCUACCUGGCCCA